AAAUGAAUUGACGGGGGCCCGCACAAGCGGUGGAGUAUGUGGUUUAAUUCGACGCUACGCGAAGAACCUUACCGGGGCUUGACAUCCCGUGCUAUCUGGUGAAAGCCAGAGUUCCCUAUGGGACGCGGAGACAGGUGGUGCAUGGCUGUCGUCAGCUCGUGUCGUGAGAUGUUGGGUUAAGUCCCGCAACGAGCGCAACCCUUGUCCUUAGUUGCCAGCAUGUAAUGAUGGGCACUCUAGGGAUACUGCCGGUGACAAACCGGAGGAAGGUGGGGAUGACGUCAAGUCAUCAUGCCCCUUAUGUUCCGGGCUACACACGUACUACAAUGGUCUGUACAGAGGGUCGCGAAGCCGCGAGGUGGAGCCAAUCCCACAAAGCAGAUCUCAGUUCGGAUUGCAGGCUGCAACUCGCCUGCAUGAAGUUGGAAUCGCUAGUAAUCGCAGGUCAGCAUACUGCGGUGAAUACGUUCCCGGGCCUUGUACACACCGCCCGU
rnacentral:rRNA from 1 species